AGUGAACGCUGGCGGUAGGCCUAACACAUGCAAGUCGAACGGCAGCACAGUAAGAGCUUGCUCUUACGGGUGGCGAGUGGCGGACGGGUGAGGAAUACAUCGGAAUCUACUUUUUCGUGGGGGAUAACGUAGGGAAACUUACGCUAAUACCGCAUACGACCUACGGGUGAAAGCAGGGGAUCUUCGGACCUUGCGCGAUUGAAUGAGCCGAUGUCGGAUUAGCUAGUUGGCGGGGUAAAGGCCCACCAAGGCGACGAUCCGUAGCUGGUCUGAGAGGAUGAUCAACCACACUGGAACUGAGACACGGUCCAGACUCCUACGGGAGGCAGCAGUGGGGAAUAUUGGACAAUGGGCGCAAGCCUGAUCCAGCCAUACCGCGUGGGUGAAGAAGGCCUUCGGGUUGUAAAGCCCUUUUGCUGGGAAAGAAAAGCAGCAGGUUAAUACCCCGCUGUUCUGACGGUACCCAAAGAAUAAGCACCGGCUAACUUCGUG
rnacentral:rRNA from 1 species